GAUGAACGCUGGCGGCGUGCCUAACACAUGCAAGUCGAGCGGUAACAGGGAUAGUUUACUAUCUGCUGACGAGCGGCGAACGGCUGAGUAACGCGUGGGAAUGUACCCCAAAGUGAGGGAUAAAUGCCUGAAAAGGUAGCUAAUACCGCAUAUGGCCUUCGGAUUAAAGUAUUUAUACGCUUUGGGAACAGCCCGCGUCCGAUUAGGUUGUUGGUUAGGUAAUGGCUCACCAAGCCGACGAUCGGUAGCUGGUCUGAGAGGAUGAUCAGCCAGACUGGAACUGAGACACGGUCCAGACUCCUACGGGAGGCAGCAGUGAGGAAUCUUCCACAAUGGGGGGAACCCUGAUGGAGCAACGCCGCGUGCAGGAUGAAGGCCUUCGGGUUGUAAACUGCUUUUAUGAGUGAAGAAUAUGACGGUAACUCAUGAAUAAGGAUCGGCUAGCUACGUGCCAGCCGCCGCGGUAA
rnacentral:rRNA from 1 species